GACGAACGCUGGCGGCGUGCUUAACACAUGCAAGUCGAACGGAAAGGCCCUGCUUUUGUGCGGUGCUCGAGUGGCGAACGGGUGAGUAACACGUGAGUAACCUGCCCUUGACUUUAGGAUAACUUCAGGAAACUGGGGCUAAUACCGGAUAGGAGCUCCUGCUGCAUGGUGGGGGUUGGAAAGUUUCGGCGGUUGGGGAUGGACUCGCGGCUCAUCAGCUUGUUGGUGGGGUAGUGUCUUACCAAGGCUUGCACGGGUAGCCGGCCUGAGAGGGUGACCGGACACACCACGCUUGAAAUGAGGCCCAGCCCAGUACGGGAGGGAGGGGAGCAGAAGGGUAUACUAGGGGCUGGAGCCUGGUGCGGCAACGCCGCGUGCGGGAUGUCGUCCAUGGGUUAGUGUACCGCUUCCGCCUGUGACGGGGCGUGAGUGACGGUACCGGGUAAAGAAGCACCGGCUAACUACGUG
rnacentral:rRNA from 1 species